ensembl:lncRNA
GGCGAACAGGACACCGACGCGCAGCGGAGGUGUCCUGUUCGCCCUGUCGGGGCUUAUUUUCUCGAUAAUGACCGGCGUUCUAUACAUUAUCCCUUACGUAUUUAAUAGAGAAACCGAGCUUGUACACCAGAGAAAUUACGAGCCUAUAAGUCACUGGAUGAUGCUUAUGAAUACGUUGUCUGUGGUCAUGUACAGAACGUCAAAUACCAUGACAUGACUAGAGUUUUAUGUGGUGAAAUCAGAAUUUUGUAUUAUGUCCUCAUUCCAGUCAACACGUUUAAUCGCCUGCAGCCACAGACGCCGCCGGUUGCUCUUAAAUGGUUGUGAUCCUGUCGGAAUCCUAUACAACUUUAGUCCGCCGGUGGAAUAUCGAUUCUGACAACCAUAUACGCAACAACCAGACAUUUUGAUGCUGGAAACUUUUUUUGAUCCACUUAUAAACUCUUGCUAGUCAGUUGCUACGUCGUGUGUGAGUCAGAACGACUGGGAAACAAUACCACUUCUGUUGCCGGCAUGCGCACGCAACUAUUUGAUGACGUUGGCUGUAAAAGGGUCUAUUUGCAUUGACAAAUAAACAACUUCCCAUGAUGCAACAGUUUGUCCUUGAGCUUGACAUGCCAAAUGCUCAACAUGGGCACCACCUCGAUGCUAAAAUAUCCUCCCUACCCUCCUCAACCAUGGUGCAUAGCAAUGAGGAGCUGAGAGCAGGCCCUCAUUUGUGGCAUGCCUUCACAUGAGGGCUCCUGUCAGCUUAUAGCCAUGCAGCUAACUUCUGCUGUCCAGUCUGUCAGCAGAGCUGUGAAGAGGGCCAUUAACCACAGACAUGUGACAGGGCGGUGGGCUGGCUCUGAGUUCACCAAACACCGGUCAUGUGACCAUCAAUCAGGCCGGAGACAUAAAAGAAAGACAGAAAGAUGCUGGAUGGCUACUGACAUGAAAUCCCCCGUCACCGGUCCGGAGACAGAAGGCUGUCUCGUUUAGCCAUGGAGCAUCUUCACACCCCCAGGAGCACAAUUUUGCAAGAGGAUUCGUUUUCCGCCACAGAAUCAACAAUGGCAGUGUUAAGUCGAUGAUUCAACAGAAGACGUCGCCGUGCCAACUACCUGUCAAAUGCGUCAACACAACAAAGCCAACAUAAACACAAACGUAUACAACCACGGCUACAAUAAAGACCGGUAGCCACCCAUCAGUGGUGAUUAAAGCCACAUUUCAGAGCUCCGUCCUGUCAGUGGGUGUAGUUGGGCUGCUACGGCUGAACCCUAUUGGACGCGAUGAAGGCCAGACACCAGGUUCUACCGCCCUACAUUCAUCCAAGACGCAGAUUCUUGCUGGUCAGUCAGAGGUGACGUGCCCCCAUGAAUCAUAUCCGCGACACACAGCGGCUCCCAGGUCCCCCGCUGUGGGCCUGCUGUGGCAUGGUCCUGACAGACAUUCAUGAAAGGCUCCAUACGGGGGAUUUAACGGCACAUUGAGGCCCUAUUUGUGUCAAAGUGAAGGGCCGUCUGUAUACAGAGGGCUGGGGAACCAUGAGGCAUUACCACCGGGAUCCAUCAGUGUCAUCCUCCUAAUUUGACUCUUCAACCUAAACUCGUCAUGUCAGGCUUCACAAUGGCAUUGCAGUUGUGACUAAUGCCUAUAAAUGUGUCAUAUUUAAGCACUUCAAAUAAAAAAA